UGCCAGCCGCCGCGGUAAUACGGAGGGUGCAAGCGUUAUCCGGAAUUACUGGGUUUAAAGGGUGCGUAGGCGGCUAGAUAAGUCAGGAGUGAAAAUUGCCCGCUAAACGGGUAACGUGCUUUUGAUACUGUUUAGCUUGAAUAAGGUUGAGGUUAGCGGAAUGUGGCAUGUAGCGGUGAAAUGCAUAGAUAUGCCAUAGAACACCAAUUGCGAAGGCAGCUGGCUAGACCUAUAUUGACGCUGAGGCACGAAAGCGUGGGGAGCGAACAGGAUUAGAUA
rnacentral:rRNA from 1 species